GGAGAAUUCCCUUAUUCAGCCUGCCUCAGAUCAUGCUGUGCCAGGAGGAGGAUGCAUGGGGCCAGUCUGUUUGGCAGAUAUCAACUACAAAAAUUGUUUGAAAGCUAGCUUAAAACUUUCUAGAAAAGCUUGUUUUCCCUAAGAUUUCCUCUGGACUUCAUCCAGUUUGUAACUUUCUUUUCCUUUCUCAGUGAGAAUCUCCUGCAUUUAAGAAGAUGAAAAUCAAGACUUAGAUUUAUCAAAUGCAGAAGGGUUAAGGAAGUCCUCAGCAUCUAGACUGAAGAAAAGGGGAGAGCUAUUGUGUGAGGUACUGGGCCAAAUCUGGCACAGAGAUGAACUUGCUAUAAACAACCCCAUCAUUUCUAGACUUUCAAAUUUCAUUAUCUUAAGCACAAAUCAACCUCGACGCUGCUCUGGUCUGGCUCUGAUAUUCUGCUCAGAAUUAACAAGGUUUCCAUCCUUACUGCCUCUGAAAAAUCCACAUCUGCUACAGUCUGCUGUGAAUCAGCUGCAUAACUGUGUUCAGUAAAAAAGGGCUUUUUACUAAGUUUCUGUGCAUGAAGUAUGCCAUUGACACCACUCACUCACAACGUACAGUCUGAAGCAAUCCGACUAAGAAAAUCUGAGAUAAAAGUAGGAAGCAGCAGGGAGACUGGAGUGAAUGAAGCAAAACAUAUCAAUCUGUGGAAGAUGCCUGACUGCUUCCAAUUGUACUGUCAUGAUCAUUUGAUUUAUCCUCUUGGGAGGAAGGAUUGCAAUUAUAAUGUACCAAUAGAUACAAAAAUGGAAGUAAAAAUACAUCUUGAGCAUAGUUUAAGGUUUGUCAGUUUUAUACAAAAUCUCCAUUGGGGCCUUCUUAAAUCUUUGUUAGAAUCAAAAUAAAAUUCAACCAAGCUUAUUUUAUGUGAUUCACAAAGACUAAAAGGGCACUAAGUUGUUAUGAAGUAAAAAGCUUGAAUGAAUGAUUAUGCUCUGGGCUCAGAUUUUAGGAACACAAAACAAUAAUUGUUACUGGGAGGUUUAGGAGUGAACUAAAUAUUAAAUAUUGUUGUAUUUACCACU
rnacentral:lncRNA from 7 species